UACGUAGGGUGCAAGCGUUGUCCGGAAUUAUUGGGCGUAAAGAGCUCGUAGGCGGUCUAUCGCGUCGGCUGUGAAAACCCGGAGCUCAACUCCGGGCCUGCAGUCGAUACGGGCAAACUGGAGUGUUGGCAGGGGAGACUGGAAUUCCUGGUGUAGCGGUGAAAUGCGCAGAUAUCAGGAGGAACACCGGUGGCGAAGGCGGGUCUCUGGGCAACAACUGACGCUGAGGAGCGAAAGCGUGGGGAGCGAACAGG
rnacentral:rRNA from 1 species